rnacentral:tRNA from 1 species
GUCUCAGUAGCUCAAGGGUAGAGCAAUGCACUGUUAAUGCAGUGAUCCUAGUUCGAGUCUAGGCUGAGACG